GUGCCAGCCGCCGCGGUAAUACCGGCAGCCCAAGUGAUGGCCGCUGUUAUUGGGCCUAAAGCGUCCGUAGCUGGCCGCACAAGUCCGUCGGGAAAUCCGCCCGCUCAACGGGCGGCCGUCCGGCGGAACCUGUGUGGCUUGGGGCCGAACGACCCGAGGGGUACGUCCGGGGUAGGAGUGAAAUCCUGUAAUCCUGGACGGACCGCGGGUGGCGAAAGCGCCUCGGGAGGACGGACCCGACGGUGAGGGACGAAAGCCAGGGUCUCGAACCGGAUUAGAUACCCAUAGUCC
rnacentral:rRNA from 1 species